rnacentral:rRNA from 1 species
AUUGAACGCUGGCGGCAUGCCUUACACAUGCAAGUCGAACGGCAGCAUGAUCUAGCUUGCUAGAUUGAUGGCGAGUGGCGAACGGGUGAGUAAUACAUCGGAACGUGCCCUGUAGUGGGGGAUAACUAGUCGAAAGAUUAGCUAAUACCGCAUACGACCUGAGGGUGAAUGUGGGGGACCGCAAGGCCUCAUGCUAUAGGAGCGGCCGAUGUCUGAUUAGCUAGUUGGUGAGGUAAAGGCUCACCAAGGCGGCGAUCAGUAGCUGGUCUGAGAGGACGCUCAGCCCGACUGGGACUGAGCCACGGCCCAGACUCCUACGGGUGGCAGCCGUGGGGAAUUUUAGACAAUGGGCGAAAGCCUGAUCCAGCAAUGCCGCGUGUGUGAAGAAUGCCUUCGGGUUGUAAAGCACUUUUGUCCGGAAAGAAAUGGCUCUGGUUAAUACCUGGGGUCGAUGACGGUACCGGAAGAAUAAGGACCGGCUAACUACGUG